GACGAACGCUGGCGGCGUGCUUAACACAUGCAAGUCGAACGGAAAGGCCCUGCUUUUGUGGGGUGCUCGAGUGGCGAACGGGUGAGUAACACGUGAGUAACCUGCCCUUGACUUUGGGAUAACUUCAGGAAACUGGGGCUAAUACCGGAUAGGAGCUCCUGCUGCACGGUGGGGGUUGGAAAGUUUCGGCGGUUGGGGAUGGACUCGCGGCUUAUCAGCUUGUUGGUGGGGUAGUGGCUUACCAAGGCUUUGACGGGUAGCCGGCCUGAGAGGGUGACCGGCCACAUUGGGACUGAGAUACGGCCCAGACUCCUACGGGAGGCAGCAGUGGGGAAUAUUGCACAAUGGGCGGAAGCCUGAUGCAGCAACGCCGCGUGCGGGAUGACGGCCUUCGGGUUGUAAACCGCCUUCGCCUGUGAUGAAGCGUGAGUGACGGUAAUGGGUAAAGAAGCACCGGCUAACUACGUGCCAGCAGCCGCGGUGAUACGUAGGGUGCGAGUGUUGUCCGGAUUUAUCGGGCGUAAAGGGCUCGUAGGUGGUUGAUCGCGUCGGAAGUGUAAUCUUGGGGCUUAACCCUGAGCGUGCUUUCGAUACGGGUUGACUUGAGGAAGGUAGGGGAGAAUGGAAUUCCUGGUGGAGCGGUGGAAUGCGCAGAUAUCAGGAGGAACACCAGUGGCGAAGGCGGUUCUCUGGGCCUUUCCUGACGCUGAGGAGCGAAAGCGUGGGGAGCGAACAGGCUUAGAUACCCUGGUAGUCCACGCUGUAAACGGUGGGUACUAGGUGUGGGGUCCACUCCACGGGUUCCGUGCCGUAGCUAACGCUUUAAGUACCCCGCCUGGGGAGUACGGCCGCAAGGCUAAAACUCAAAGGAAUUGACGGGGCCCCGCACAAGCGGCGGAGCAUGCGGAUUAAUUCGAUGCAACGCGUAGAACCUUACCUGGGUUUGACAUGGAUCGGGAGUGCUCAGAGAUGGGUGUGCCUCUUUUGGGGUCGGUUCACAGGUGGUGCAUGCCUGUCGUCAGCUCGUGUCGUGAGAUGUUGGGUUAAGUCCCGCAACGAGCGCAACCCUUGUUCACUGUUGCCAGCACGUUAUGGUGGGGACUCAGUGGAGACCGCCGGGGUCAACUCGGAGGAAGGUGGGGAUGACGUCAAGUCAUCAUGCCCCUUAUGUCCAGGGCUUCACGCAUGCUACAAUGGCUGGUACAGAGAGUGGCGAGCCUGUGAGGGUGAGCGAAUCUCGGAAAGCCGGUCUCAGUUCGGAUUGGGGUCUGCAACUCGACCUCAUGAAGUCGGAGUCGCUAGUAAUCGCAGAUCAGCAACGCUGCGGUGAAUACGUUCCCGGGGCU
rnacentral:rRNA from 1 species